AAGUCGUAACAAGGUAUCCGUAGGUGAACCUGCGGAUGGAUCAUUAAGAGGUUAGCAAAACAACAACCCUGUUUUCUGCAAACCACUGUGGUGCGAUGCAUGUUGUUUUGGCGGCGAUGUUGUGUGCGUGAGCAUGCAUGCGCCGCCGACACUAAACCCUAACAAUUAUUUUAUUACUACUCAGCUGUUCUGAUUGCACUAUUAUCUUGAUAGAAUAAUCUUUAUACAACUGCUAGCAACGGAUCACUCGGCUCUC
rnacentral:misc_RNA from 1 species